GGGCGAGUGGUGAAACUGGUAUACACGCAGCCUUGAGGAGGCUGUGGCCGCAAGGCCGUGGAGGUUCAAGUCCUCUCUCGCCCACCC
rnacentral:tRNA from 1 species